rnacentral:rRNA from 1 species
AUUGAACGCUGGCGGCAGGCCUAAGACAUGCAAGUCGAGCGAGAAAGCCCUUCGGGGUGAGUACAGCGGCGGACGGGUGAGUAACGCGUAGGAAUCUACCUAGUAGUGGGGGACAACUCGUGGAAACGCGAGCUAAUACCGCAUACGCCCUACGGGGGAAAGCGGGGGAUCUUCGGACCUCGUGCUAUUAGAUGAGCCUGCGUAAGAUUAGCUAGUUGGUGGGGUAAUGGCCUACCAAGGCGACGAUCUUUAGCUGGUCUGAGAGGAUGAUCAGCCACACCGGGACUGAGACACGGCCCGGACUCCUACGGGAGGCAGCAGUCGGGAAUAUUGCGCAAUGGGCGAAAGCCUGACGCAGCCAUGCCGCGUGUGUGAAGAAGGCCCUAGGGUUGUAAAGCACUUUCAAUUGGGAGGAAAAGCUAAUGGUUAAUAGCCAUUAGCCCUGACGUUACCUUUAGAAGAAGCACCGGCUAACUCCG